rnacentral:rRNA from 1 species
GAUGAACGCUAGCGGCAGGCUUAACACAUGCAAGUCGAGGGGCAGCACGGGUAGCAAUACCUGGUGGCGACCGGCGCAAGGGUGCGUAACGCGUGAGCAACAUGCCCUAUACAGGGGGAUAAUCCAGGGAAACUUGGUCUAAUAUCCCAUAGUAUUUAGAGGAGGCAUCUUCUAUAAAUUAAAGCUUCGGUGGUAUAGGAUUGGCUCGCGUGACAUUAGCUAGAUGGUGAGGUAACGGCUCACCAUGGCAAUGAUGUCUAGGGGUUCUGAGAGGGUUGUCCCCCACACUGGUACUGAGACACGGACCAGACUCCUACGGGAGGCAGCAGUGAGGAAUAUUGGUCAAUGGGCGCAAGCCUGAACCAGCCAUCCCGCGUGAAGGAAGAAUGCGCUACGCGUUGUAAACUUCUUUUCCAGGGGAGAAUAAUCCUGUCGUGACAGGACUUGACGGUACUCUGGGAAUAAGCAUCGGCUAACUCCGUGCC